UUAGCUAUACACUUGAUGCAAAUUUGCUGGGGUCAAGGGCACAUGUACAUCCAUAAACAACACUUUAUUCAAAUAAGCAACGUCUUGUUGCGGCUACUAAUGCCUAGCCGAUUAACUUGAAAGCAGCAGCUUUCCUUGCAAGCUGCACUCGUGUGUUGGGAGACAGGUCAAAUACUGGGCUACCAAAUGGAGCUUCAUUCAAAUAACCAUCACGCGGAUCAUGCUCAUCUCCUGCAGUAGAAUAGGUAAAGUCGUUCAAUCAUCAUGGCUGACUAAGCAUGUACUUCAUUUAGAUUCUUCACACGCAAUUUUUGAAUGGUCAAUUAUUCAAUACAGAAUACUAUGCAAAAGAAUCAAGUUGGUAUAUUGAGUACUAAAAAUGCUACUAAAUUUGAGAGUAUAUAUAUGCUUCAAAUUCCUACAAAACUAUGUGGCUUCAAUAGAACUCCAUGCAAGGGGGCUGGUGUAGCAUCAAAGAUAAUGCCUACCACAAAAAAGAUGAGGAUCAAAAGUUCUUAACAUGGAAAUGAUGGUGGUAUAAAAAAGAAUUUUGACAUAAAUAAAAUCCCAAUAAUAUAAGCAACAAUGACAGUACGAAUCAAUAGAACUGCCAGGUGGUGGAUGCAGUGACACUCAGGUUUGCUCACAACCUCUACAAUACCACCUACAUAGCACUUAAUAGAUACUGAAAUAAUGCAGGAAUAGAUUUACACAAACUCUUGGUUUCACCAGCCAAGCGUUGGAGGAGCAUAUCAACGAAGGGAGCACCUACAACACGGUGGAUGAAACCGACAACAAACUGGCGGAGAAUUGAAGGAGACCUCCACACAUUAU
rnacentral:lncRNA from 1 species